rnacentral:lncRNA from 1 species
CAAUUUCCCUAAAAUCAAGUGAAUAUUUGAAUGGUGAGACCAAGUGGUGGAGUAAUUAAUGGUCUUAUUGCUCUCAAAAUCAGAUAUCCGCACAUCCUUUCCCAUGAUGAGACAUAUCACACAUCACAAAACAUAAAUUAUCCCACAAUGAGACAUAUUCACAAUAGAACAUAAAAAAAAAAGAUCAAUUAUUUUAUAGUAAUUAUUACAAUUUUCUUUAAAAUCAACAAACAAUUACUUAAAUGGUUUGGCCUAGUUUUGUAGUAAGUAAAUGUCUUAUUGAUCUGAAAAGGAGGUCACCACAUAACAAAUAAAAACUAGACUCAAAUAACAC